rnacentral:rRNA from 1 species
UCUACGGGAGGCAGCAGUGGGGAAUAUUGCACAAUGGGCGCAAGCCUGAUGCAGCGACGCCGCGUGAGGGAUGACGGCCUUCGGGUUGUAAACCUCUUUCACCAGGGACGAAGCGAAAGUGACGGUACCUGGAGAAGAAGCACCGGCCAACUACGUGCCAGCAGCCGCGGUAAUACGUAGGGUGCGAGCGUUGUCCGGAAUUACUGGGCGUAAAGAGCUCGUAGGCGGUUUGUCGCGUCGUUCGUGAAAACUUGGGGCUUAACUCCAAGCGUGCGGGCGAUACGGGCAGACUUGAGUACUACAGGGGAGACUGGAAUUCCUGGUGUAGCGGUGAAAUGCGCAGAUAUCAGGAGGAACACCGGUGGCGAAGGCGGGUCUCUGGGUAGUAACUGACGCUGAGGAGCGAAAGCGUGGGUAGCGAACAGGAUUAGAUACCCUGGUAGUCCACGCCGUAAACGGUGGGUACUAGGUGUGGGUUCCUUUUCACGGGAUCCGUGCCGUAGCUAACGCAUUAAGUACCCCGCCU